UCGCGGCCUAUCAGCUUGUUGGUGAGGUAAUGGCUCACCAAGGCGACGACGGGUAGCCGGCCUGAGAGGGUGACCGGCCACACUGGGACUGAGACACGGCCCAGACUCCUACGGGAGGCAGCAGUGGGGAAUAUUGCACAAUGGGCGAAAGCCUGAUGCAGCGACGCCGCGUGAGAGAUGACGGCCUUCGGGUUGUAAACCUCUUUCAGUAGGGAAGAAGCGAAAGUGACGGUACCUGCAGAAGAAGCGCCGGCUAACUACGUGCCAGCAGCCGCGGUAAUACGUAGGGCGCAAGCGUUAUCCGGAAUUAUUGGGCGUAAAGAGCUCGUAGGCGGUUUGUCGCGUCUAUCGUGAAAGUCCGAGGCUCAACCUCGGAUCUGCGGUGGGUACGGGCAGACUAGAGUGAUGUAGGGGAGACUGGAAUUCCUGGUGUAGCGGUGAAAUGCGCAGAUAUCAGGAGGAACACCGAUGGCGAAGGCAGGUCUCUGGGCAUUAACUGACGCUGAGGAGCGAAAGCAUGGGGAGCGAACAGGAUUAGAUACCCUGGUAGUCCAUGCCGUAAACGUUGGGCACUAGGUGUGGGGGACAUUCCACGUUUUCCGCGCCGUAGCUAACGCAUUAAGUGCCCCGCCUGGGGAGUACGGCCGCAAGGCUAAAACUCAAAGGAAUUGACGGGGGCCCGCACAAGCGGCGGAGCAUGCGGAUUAAUUCGAUGCAACGCGAAGAACCUUACCAAGGCCUGACAUGUGCCAGACCGCCAUGGAAACACGGUUUCCCCUUUGGGGCUGGUUCACAGGUGGUGCAUGGUUGUCGUCAGCUCGUGUCGUGAGAUGUUGGGUUAAGUCCCGCAACGAGCGCAACCCUCGUUCUAUGUUGCCAGCACGUGAUGGUGGGGACUCAUAGGAGACUGCCGGGGUCAACUCGGAGGAAGGUGGGGACGACGUCAAAUCAUCAUGCCCCUUAUGUCUUGGGCUUCACGCAUGCUACAAUGGCCGGUACAAUGGGUUGCGAUACUGUGAGGUGGAGCUAAUCCCA
rnacentral:rRNA from 1 species